rnacentral:rRNA from 1 species
AGAGCCCAUCGCAGAACCUCCCGGGCCACCCGGCCUGCGGCGGAAUGUUGCGUAAAGGGAAAGGUCGUAGUCAAACCCUACAACCACGUGAUUCUCUAAAUUAGCCACGAAUUGGCUAUCCCUGCUAACGUAUGGGCCAAAUCCAUGGAGGGUGUAAGACCCGUGUGGGCACGUGUCAAUGUUGUAUGGGUUCGGCCCUUCCCUGAGAGUCGCGUUGCUUGAGCAUGCAGCGCUAAGCAGGUCGUAAACUCGAUCUAAGGCUAAAUAUAUCCACAGGACCGAUAGCAAACAAGUACCGUGAGGGAAAGUUGAAAAGUACUCUGAAGAGAGAGUCAAAAGACCGUGAAACCGCUCAGAGUAUAAGCCCAUGGUGUCUGGAAGGCUUCUGUCGAGUAGCAGUCAUAUGCAACGUUUGUUACAGAGAAGGCUCGUCAGGUGGGCAUUGAGUUGAUCCCAGCCGGCGUACGGGGGAGUUGCGAUGGACAUGUAGAGUUUGUUCGUACAUGUUCGCGUAUUCUUCCUUGAGAAUGGAUGUUCAAGGUCUGUAACAACACGUCAGUUAAAGCCCACCACAACUCGUUGUGAGGUCACCCACAGGCUCAAACUGUCGAUUGCGAUCCGAAGCUCAGCGCCGAGGAGACGUUGCUGAUGCCUAGGGUCGAGCGAUCCGAGUAUAUCCUGGUAUGAUCCUCUUGCGACGAGUUGGUUCUGACCGGUAUCGACUCCUCGGGUACUCGAUUUUAACAAGGUUGUAUGCGCCCGGGCGAUAAGUCGACUGGGAGUUGGUCCGUAUGGUGUAAAGUCCAGCCCCAUCGGUCACGUCUCGAAACACGGGCCAAGGAGUAUAGCAUGUGUGCAAGUCUAAGGGUCUCACAAAACCCGCAGGCGAAGUGAAAGCAAAGGUUGCGGCGGAGGAGCUACGGAGCGAUCCCGUCAGCCUAGAGUGGCAUAUGUGUGUCGCAUGGCUUAAGCAGAGUUGAUCUUGUCGAAUUGGCAAUGUCCCAAGACAGGCGCAAACUCCAGGCUCACGCAACGCACGGUCGACUGUKUUGUGAGCACUGUGGAGCAUGUAUGCUAUAACCCGAAAGWUAGUGAACUAUGCUUGGCGA